UUUGUCUCACCAUUAAUGGUCCAAACACAAAAAUAAGCAAAGGAGACUAACAGACCAAAACCCUAGUCGCCUGGCUGUUGGGUAUGGACUAUGAAGAUUCCCAACACUAGUAAUUGCUGUCAGUAAUUAAUAAAAGGUUAAUGCAAAAGAAAACCAACAGGUAGACUUAAAGAGGGCACAGUAAAAUAAAAGAUGACAUUAGAUGGAAUAAAGUUAUUCCCAAAACCAUUAAUCAUCACAGAGAAGUAAAGUAAACUUUUUAAACAAAAAAAAAUCAGAAGCUAUAACCAUGGACGAAAGAGGAAGCGGGAGAAACAGGGGAAUGAUCGUCCCUUUCCUUCGAUCAAAAGGUUUUUCUCUCUCAUAAACAAAACCGAUUCCCUUCUCCACUUACAGUUACAAAGAAACCUUCACAACACAAUUCAAACAUCGGCUAAGAGUAAGAUUCGAGAAUGGCACUAACCAGCUGCAACGAAGUCGGCCAACGAAUGAGCAGGGUUUCUCCUCUCUCUUCAGUAGCCGUCAAUACUCUUCUCUAGGGUUUUUUCGUGGUCGUCCUCUGGUGGAGGAGGAGGCUCCUUUUAUACUCACCCUGUUUAGGGUUUUUGAGCUGGCUAUGGAGAUCAAAAGGGUAAUGCUUUUGGAAGUGCUUUAGGGUGCUCACAGUUUGUCUACAUUAUUCGGUGUUUGAUCUGGAACAGG